GAGCACCAAAUCUUUUCAGUCCCUCUCAAGGCCGAUGCACAUUUCUCUCAAACGACCCUUGUUCCCACAGGUCCCUGAUGUGACUGAGGAGCCUGGGCCAGCCCAUAAGGCGAAGCCAUCCCGCCCCAUGACGCUGCAGGCCCGAACCUGCCCCGCAGCUGUUCUGCGGUCCCAGCUGAGGCACGGGAGCGAGGCCCAGCGUGUGGCAACCCUGAGCCUGCUGGGAGAGCUGGCCCGCUCUGACGCUCCUGUAGCAAGGAAGAAGCUGCCCCAGGUGGUGGCAGCUGUGCAGCUGGUGUGCAACGACCCCAGCGCCCAGGUG